GAUGAAGAACGUAGCGAAAUGCGAUAACUAAUGUGAAUUGCAGAAUUCCGUGAAUCAUCGAGUCUUUGAACGCACAUUGCGCCCCCUGGUAUUCCGGGGGGCAUGCCUGUCCGAGCGUCAUUGCUGCCCAUCAAGCACGGCUUGUGUGUUGGGUCCUCGUCCCCCCCGGGGGACGUGCCCGGAAGGCAGCGGCGGCACCGCGUCCGGUCCUCGAGCGUAUGGGGCUUUGUCACCCGCUCUGCAGGCCCGGCCGGCGCUGGCCGACGCGAAAGCAACCAUUUUUUCUCCAGGUUGACCUCGGAUCAGGUAGGGAUACCCGCUGAACUUAAGCAUAUCAAUAAGCGGAGGA
rnacentral:misc_RNA from 1 species